AAAACUCCUGCACUUCGCCAUGGACCGGAAGCCCCUCUCUCUCUACAGGAGAAUUUCUCUCUUUCUUUUGCCUCUUAAACCUCCAAGCUUAACCUCACAUUUUGUGUGUCUGCGUCCUUGAUUUCCUUGGUGUGAGGCAAUGAACCUCAGGUAUUACCCCAGACAAGCGAAGCUGCUUCACUUUCAUUGACGGAUGCAGGUCAAGAAAAUUACAUCCCUCCCAGAAUGCGAAGAUAUAAACAUGCUCUAAGGAGGUAUGACAGCUAUGCUCAAGAUUCAGGUGCUCAGAUAAUUAGACGAGAAUCCUUGAAGGAGAACUAGGAUUACAGUUACUGUUCUUUAAGCUUAAAAUGAGCUUCAAUCAAGAGGAAGAAGGAAAAUUGCUUAAGUCAGACCCGACAGCUAAAGGCAUGCUAUACACAUUCUCUACUGAAAUCAGUGUCCUCAAAUGCCUGCGGCGUUCUAAACACACGAGCAACAAGGAGGCAUAGCCACUGACCAGAGAAGAUGAAGCACUCUGGAGAGAUCAAAGACCAUCGGGCCUGAGUGGCUGUACAAUUUCGCACUGGGGGUUCUAUUCAGCAGUCUAAAUUGCAGCUGGUCUGUCUGUCCAAAGCACAACAUGGCACACAAUUAUGUAGCAUCACUCAGCUUAGCAAAAAGCAGUUUGCAUCAAAGGAACAACAGAAUAGGAAGAGACCUAAUAUUUCUUGAAGCCUACUGUGUGCUAACUACUUGAUGUGUGGUUUUCAUAUACUCUUUGCACCAAACCUAUGAGGCAAUUUGCUCUUCAAAAAACUCCGAGUCUGUGUGGUGUUGCCUACAUUUUUCUUGGAUUUUAUUUCCCUUUCAAUGGCCUACUCUCAGUGUUGGUGUCUGAGCUUCCUCUGUGUGGAACAGAAGAUUUUUAAACCUGUAUAUUUAUAGCAAACAAUGAAUCUCUAAAUAGUUCUUCAGAUCUUGAAGUGUUCCCACUUAUUAAUUAAUUUGAGAAGGUUUUGCCAGAUCUGAGGGAGAUUUUCAUAUUUUUUCUUCUCAUAUGGCAAAGAAGUUCUCAGGCCUAUGAAUUUAUAGAAAGAAAGUGAAAUCUGGCAAGAUCAUCAGAGACUGUUUAAUUGGGAUUUUUGUGCUUCAGAAAACAAGAAAAUCAAGCUCAGAGAUGAAAUCAGGUCUUCCAAACCUCCUGAAAGGAGUCUCCCUGUUCUAUAUUCAGGAAGGCAUUGGUCACAUUGAGGUCCUUUUGGGAUUCUCUAGUUUUCAUGUUUCAGUGGUAGACAAGGGAGUGUUUGAAGCAUCAAGAGCAUUUUCAGUGUCACUAUUCUCUGUCUUAACUCUCCUGAAGCACCAACCAUGAUCAAGCUUGCAGUCUGAGUGUAAGAUGUAGAAGGAGACAGAAAUGAAAUGCAGUUACCCAAGAAAUAUUUAAAUACAAUUGUAUUAAAUACUGUGAUGGAGAGAUACAGACUACUGCGAGUGUGUAUAUAAAAACGGGGGGUCCUGAUCUGGUCAGGUGGAAUGGGGAAAGCUUCCAGGAGGAAGACAAAUUUAAGCUGAGACCUGAAGGGCGAUUAGAAAUUGUGCAACUGAGGGAGACAAUUCUAUUAAUAGCGCUAUAUCCCCUAGUGACUGGAAUGUAGGGUUUGAGACCUUGGGCUCAAAGACUGACUGCCUGAACAAAAUUCUCUCCUUUACCACACUUUUAGCUCUGUUUUCUGUGGGCAAGACACUGAAGUUUUCUGUUUCUCCAGCCCUUUGUAUGAAAUUAGGGAAUAAUACUAUUAAGGUAUUGUGCUCUUAAACCAUUAUCACACAAUUUUGAUAAUCCCAUGUGAAACUUAAAUGCAAUAAUGCAUGUAAAGCAUUUUAACAGUGCCAAACACUCAGUAAACAAUCAACAAAUAUUGGCUAUUAUUAUUGCAGGAUUCUGCAGCUUACAAAACAUUUUCAUAGGCAUCAUACAUUAUCUCAUCACCAAUGCUUUCCUAUAGUACUAGUUCUCGGGACACUUCCUCUGCUGAUGGUACUAUGAUUCUAUUUGGAGAAAAUAAGCAAAUGCUGUGAACCCCUUUUUAGCUUUAUUAGGGGCUAGGAGUAUUCUGUGGGAGAAUCGAGACAGAGCUUGGGUCUCGGAGUCCCCAAGUAUAUUCAAGAAUCCUCCUAUGUAGACUGGAAGUUUACCAAUACUUAAAAUUCUAGCAGUGUCUUAGAUGAAUAGAGGCACACAUUUAAAGGACUAGGUUACAUUAAGGAUUUUGAAAACAUGACAUUUAUGGUUUAACUGCUCCUCAGGAAUCAUGUCCUCAAACUGUUCAAUAAUGAUGUAAGAUGGGUGAACAAACAAUUUAAGCUUCACUCUAAAAUAAUCUCGGCGGGAGCACAAUAUUGUAAACAGUCAUUGCUGCAUCUCCAUUCUGUGAAGUUCCCUUUCAUUGUUGUCCAUUUAUUCCUUUAAACUAAAAGUCUUUGACCAAGUUACUUAGCAUCUUCUAACAAUUCUUAAAAGUUCUUCUAAAGAAAUUCAGCGUAAGGCGGUGUGAGCUAUUACACUGACUAUAAAGAAUGUCAUUUCUAUUGAAAAGAGCAAACUUUCCACUAAACACAUUUGACCUUCUUCUAUCUGGUAUUGUGGCUCAUCUGAGAAUAGGGAUGGUGGCUGUAUUAGUUCAUUCUCAUGCUGCUAAUAAAGACGUACCCGAGAUUGGGUAAUUUAUAAAGGAAAAGGGUUUAAUUGACUCACACAGUUCAGCA
rnacentral:lncRNA from 10 species